rnacentral:rRNA from 1 species
UACGUAGGGAGCAAGCGUUGUCCGGAAUCAUUGGGCGUAAAGCGCGUGUAGGCGGUUCGGUAAGUCUGCUGUGAAAGUCCAGGGCUCAACCCUGGGAUGCCGGUGGAUACUGUCGGACUAGAGUACGGAAGAGGCGAGUGGAAUUCCCGGUGUAGCGGUGAAAUGCGCAGAUAUCGGGAGGAACACCAAUUGCGAAGGCAGCUCGCUGGGACGUCACUGACGCUGAGACGCGAAAGCGUGGGGAGCAAACAGG